rnacentral:rRNA from 1 species
AACUCCCAAACCCCUGUGAACAUACCUUAAUGUUGCCUCGGCGGAUCAGCCCGCGCCCCGUAAAACGGGACGGCCCGCCAGAGGACCCAAACUCUAAUGUUUCUUAUUGUAACUUCUGAGUAAAACAAACAAAUAAAUCAAAACUUUCAACAACGGAUCUCUUGGUUCUGGCAUCGAUGAAGAACGCAGCAAAAUGCGAUAAGUAAUGUGAAUUGCAGAAUUCAGUGAAUCAUCGAAUCUUUGAACGCACAUUGCGCCCGCUGGUAUUCCGGCGGGCAUGCCUGUUCGAGCGUCAUUUCAACCCUCAAGCCCCCGGGUUUGGUGUUGGGGAUCGGCUCUGCCUUCUGGCGGUGCCGCCCCCGAAAUACAUUGGCGGUCUCGCUGCAGCCUCCAUUGCGUAGUAGCUAACACCUCGCAACUGGAACGCGGCGCGGCCAUGCCGUAAAACCCCAACUUCUGAAUGUUGACCUCGGAUCAGGUAGGAAUACCCGCUGAACUUAAGCAUAUCAAUAAGCCGGAGGAAAAG